CGCUAUGGUAGAUCGGGCAGGGCAGCCGUCAGGCUGGCCGUUUCUUCUGGUACGGUAUUCUCACCCCUGUUCGGUCUGCCACCAUU
rnacentral:antisense_RNA from 1 species